AUUGACGCUGGCGGCAGGCCUAACACAUGCAAGUCGAGCGGAUGAGUGGAGCUUGCUCCAUGAUUCAGCGGCGGACGGGUGAGUAAUGCCUAGGAAUCUGCCUGGUAGUGGGGGACAACGUUUCGAAAGGAACGCUAAUACCGCAUACGUCCUACGGGAGAAAGUGGGGGAUCUUCGGACCUCACGCUAUCAGAUGAGCCUAGGUCGGAUUAGCUAGUUGGUGAGGUAAAGGCUCACCAAGGCGACGAUCCGUAACUGGUCUGAGAGGAUGAUCAGUCACACUGGAACUGAGACACGGUCCAGACUCCUACGGGAGGCAGCAGUGGGGAAUAUUGGACAAUGGGCGAAAGCCUGAUCCAGCCAUGCCGCGUGUGUGAAGAAGGUCUUCGGAUUGUAAAGCACUUUAAGUUGGGAGGAAGGGCAGUAAGUUAAUACCUUGCUGUUUUGACGUUACCAACAGAAUAAGCACCGGCUAACUUCGUGCCAGCAGCCGCGGUAAUACGAAGGGUGCAAGCGUUAAUCGGAAUUACUGGGCGUAAAGCGCGCGUAGGUGGUUCGUUAAGUUGGAUGUGAAAGCCCCGGGCUCAACCUGGGAACUGCAUCCAAAACUGGCGAGCUAGAGUAUGGCAGAGGGUGGUGGAAUUUCCUGU
rnacentral:rRNA from 1 species